UGAGGAAUCUUCCACAAUGGGCGAAAGCCUGAUGGAGCAACGCCGCGUGCAGGAUGAAGGCCCUCGGGUCGUAAACUGCUUUUAUAAGUGAAGAAUAUGACGGUAACUUAUGAAUAAGCACCGGCUAACUACGUGCCAGCAGCCGCGGUCAUACGUAGGGUGCAAGCAUUAUCCGGAGUGACUGGGCGUAAAGAGUUGCGUAGGUGGUUUGUUAAGUGAAUAGUGAAACCUGGUGGCUCAACCACACAGACUAUUAUUCAAACUGGCAAACUCGAGAGUAGCAGAGGUAACUGGAAUUUCUAGUGUAGGAGUGAAAUCCGUAGAUAUUAGAAGGAACACCAAUGGCGUAGGCAGGUUACUAGGCUAUUUCUGACACUGAGGCACGAAAGCGUGGGGAGCGAACC
rnacentral:rRNA from 1 species